GUCUGGCAUAGUGGUAACGAGCAGGGCUUGUAACCGAGAGGUUGCUGGUUCGAUUCCCGCGCAGACA